GUUGGAUGUAAUCCCCAAUGUUGGAGGUGGAGACUGGUGGGAUUUGCAUCAUGGGGCAGAUCCCUCGUGGCUUGGUGCUGUCUUCCCAAUUGCUGAUCAUCUUGCUGCCACUUUUGCCAUGUGAACUGCCUGCUCCUGCUUUGCCUUCCACCAGGAUGGAAAGCUUCCUGAGGCCCCUCCAGAAGCUGAUGCCAGAGCUAUGCUUCCCAUACAGCCUGAAGAAGUGUGAGCCAAUUAAAUCUCUUUUCUUUAUAAAUUA
rnacentral:lncRNA from 1 species